UGACAAUUCUAUCUAAUGAGA
rnacentral:piRNA from 1 species